rnacentral:rRNA from 1 species
GUACACACCGCCCGUCGCUACUACCGAUUGAAGUUAGUGAGAUCUUCGGAUUGAUCCGAGGUGAUCGCAAGAUUGCCUCUAGUACGAGAAGAUGAUCAAACUUGAUCAUUUAGAGGAAGUAAAAGUCGUAACAAGGUUUCCGUAGGUGAACCUGCAGAAGGAUCA